GAGGGUAUAUCUCAGUGAUAGAGUGCUUGCUUUGCAUGCACAAGUUCCUGGGUUCAGUUCCCAGUACCUCCA
rnacentral:tRNA from 1 species